AUUGAACGCUGCGGCAGGCUUAACACAUGCAAGUCGAGCGAGCGGCGGACGGGUGAGUAAUGCUUAGGAAUCUGCCUAUUAGUGGGGGACAACAUCUCGAAAGGGAUGCUAAUACCGCAUACUAAUAGAUGUGCCCAGCGGGAUUAGCUAGUAGGUGGGGUAACGGCUCACCUAGGCGACGAUCCCUAGCUGGUCUGAGAGGGUGACCAGCCAAGCUGGACGUGGAACACGGUCCAGACUCCAACGGGAGGCAGCAGUGGGGAAUAUGCACAAGGGGCGCAAGGCUGAUGCAGCCAUGCCGCGUGUGGGAAGAGGGCCUUCGGGUUGUAAAGCACUUACAGCGGGGAGGCGUUACCCACAGAAGAAGCACGGCCUAACUCCGUGCCAGCAGCCGCGGUAAUA
rnacentral:rRNA from 1 species